CAUGGCAUAUGGAAGUUCCCUGGCUAGGGGUCGAAUCGGAGCUACAGCUGCUGGCCUACACCACAGCCAUAGCAACGCCAGAUCCAAGCCACAUCUGUGACCUACAUCCCAGCUCACGGCAAUGCCGGAUCCUUCAACCGACUGAGCGAGGCCAGGGAUCGAACCCAAGUCCUUAUGGAUACUAGUCAGGUUCAUUACCGCUAAGCCAUGACAGGAACUCCCACCACCAAUGUUCUUGAAUGCUGGACAGAGAGCUUGCUGCUGCUUCCUGCUAAUUUCCCCUCUUGGAUAAAACGAAGCUGUCUUUCUGUGAGAGGAAAAGGGCUUCUAGAUCUUCCCUGUUUGUUAAUAAAGAGAAGUAACCAGACGCAUCUUUCUUUUCCUUCUGCAGAAACUGACCAUGCAGAGAUGUUCUGAGAAACCAGUCAAACUUGGGCCUCAUAAUCUGAUUUUAAAGCAAUGUUCAGGAGCAAGUAGGCGCCUCCUUGAACUCCACAAUCUUGGAAAAUCUUCAGAGAUGAAAAGGCCUGUGAAAAACUUAAUUGUUAUGUCCUGGACCAAACAGGGGAAGAGCUAGAAAAGGCCAAGUUUAAAUUUUACCAAGAUUAUGGGCAUUGUCCUUAACUUCAGAGUCUCGGCUUCUUGAUCUGUAAAUGACACCAAACCUCAGGUGAUAUGCUUAUGUUUUUCAAACUUUUUAAAGCACAACAUAAUAAAAAUACUUUAUUUUCGGGAUGUGGUGCACAAGUAAGCACGUGUGUGCACACAUGGAUACACUCGCAAACACCCAUCUCUUACACAUCUAUCUGAAAUUAAGUUCUGAAAUAAUACACGUUCUUAUUGAGAUACACUCUGACAUCUACUUGAUUCUCCUUUUUUAAAAAAUGCUGGUUGUCACCCACUAAUGGGUUAAGAAAGGCUUUUUUAAAAAACACUGUGAUAUGGAUUCUUAUACCAUUGUCAUUAUAAAUGUCUUUACCGCCACCCUUACUAGAAUUUAAAUAUUAUGAGGACAAAGACCUUUUAUGUUUGUCUGUAUCUCUAGCACCUAGCACACAGUAGGAACCCAAGAGAUAUUUGUAAAAUCAAUAAAUUAGUGAAUUAAAUGAGCAGAAUGUGGACUUUUGAACUGGAGUUCAACCCCACAAGCCACAUGCCUCCUCCCUCUACCAUGUCCCAGGUUAUGAGAGAGUCUCAGAAAGGCAAGUCCCUAUUCUCUGAAGGCAUCAGCUAUACAUCAUGCCCUGCCUCGCAGUAUCUAUUCCUUUCUUCUUCUACAAGUAACAAUUCCCCAGCUCCCCUUGGCAUUGUUCUGGGUCAACCAGCUGCUCAUUUCCUCUUAACAAAAGGAGAUUAUGUGAAAUCAAAACACAUCUCCCUGGAAGUUCCCCUUGUGGCUCAGUGGUAAUGAACCUGACUAGUAUCCUUGAGGAUGCAGGUUCAAUCCCUGGCCUCGCUCAGUGGGUUAAGGAUCUGGGGCUGCCAUGAGCUGCAGUGUAGGUCGCAGACACAGCUCGGAUCUGGUAUUGCUGUGGCUGUGGUAUAGCUGGCAGCUGCAACUCCAAUUAGACCCCUAGCCUGGGAACUUCCACAUGCCAUAGGUGCAGCCUAAACACACACACACACACACACACACACACACACACACACACCCCUCUCCCUGAUAAGCCCCUCAUAUCCUAAAGGAAAAACAACAGUAAACCCAAGCGGAAAAAGGCAAAAGGCAAAGGGGCAAAGCAAACCCAAAGCCUCUGAACUGAUGUGCUCCAGCAUAGCUGAAGACAGCUUCAUCUAUCCCCUCUUCUCCUCUUCAAAGAGAGGGCUGGACCUUGCAGAAGAGGGGCUGGGCUCUCCUCUGGACAUCAUGCCAGGAUUUUAGACUUUCCCAGCUGGCAGCUGAGUACUGAUUUCCCACUGGGACUUCAUGUAACAGAGUCUCUCCAAAACCAAUGUUUAAAGGACACAUAAUCUUUUCUGUAGUCUCUUGAUCAAGGUGACACAGAAAUUUUGCUGGAAUCCAGGCUCUCCUUGUUUCUAAUCUCGAGUGGCUGGCACUUGAUGUCAUUUUGGGGAGCUCAAUGCUUACUCACACUGGAAAACAUGCUCAAAUGUAUGGGGGUGGUAGCUAAAGGUAGGAGGGGGCUGUCAUAGCAGCAUAAUGAAAGCAAGCCACUUGAUAAAACAGGAGAUGAAUGCAUAAAUCCAGGCAGAGAAUCUGAAGUAGAAAUGCAUUACCAACUAAAGAAAUCAUUUCAAAUGACUUAUACUACAAAUUGGCUUUAAGAGACACCUCAGUCUGCACAUGUAUUCCCUGCUGAAUGGUGAUACCUAUUCAAAUGAUCAAAAACAGUCCGUUUUUAAAUUCAGGAUAAAUCCCAGACCUCAGAAAGAGGCAAAGGGAAAAAAAAAAAGUUCAAAAGCAGAAAGUCAGUCAAUGUUACUCUCAGGACCAAUCUCUCUGAUAUGCCUCAAGCAUGCUAACAGCAUUUUUAUGCCACAGGCAUGCUACUUUCCUUUGCCCUCAUUUUAUUUCACAGGAAGCCCUUCCCUAAUAGCCAUGGAAAAUCCAAAAGGAGAAAAGAAGGGGAGGGCAAAGCAUUCUGCUAUCUCCCCUGCUUGGAAAAGACUCAAGAGCCUGGAAGGAUGCCGCAAAAAUCAGUGUGAGCACAACAAACAGCAGCAGCCAAGAAAACUGAAUCCCAAUGAGAAAUCUGCCAGCUGGGAGCCACUCUGUAAUUGGAGAGGAAGCAUCUACUUAAAUGGCCAGUGUCCAGCUCAGUACAAACCCUGUAGUUACAAGGACCCCUCCUAAAAUCAUGUAUCUGAUCCCUCCUGAACUGACUUCUACCAGUCCCAGUUUAAAAUCCUUCCUCCCUCUAAAGCAAAUGUUCUAAACUCCAAAGAAUGGCAUGAAUCUCACAAAGAUCCUCAAUGAG
ensembl:lncRNA